GGUUAUGUAUCAAAUUUGAUGAAAUUGUAUAUUGGAUUGUUAAAAUUUGAAGAGCAAAUUUGUGUAUUUGGAUAAUUUGCAUUUAAGGUUUAUUUGGUCUUAAGUGCAUGAAAACAUUGGUUGCACUUCUGACCUUUGACAUUAAUUGCAUGACUGUACAUCUGAAGUGCAAUUUUUCACUUCAAGAUUAUUGGUCUUAAGUGUAGGAAAACGUUUGUUGCACUCCAGACUUUUUGGC
rnacentral:lncRNA from 1 species